rnacentral:rRNA from 1 species
CUACGUGCCAGCAGCCGCGGUAAUACGUAGGUCCCGAGCGUUGUCCGGAUUUAUUGGGCGUAAAGCGAGCGCAGGCGGUUAGAUAAGUCUGAAGUUAAAGGCUGUGGCUUAACCAUAGUACGCUUUGGAAACUGUUUAACUUGAGUGCAAGAGGGGAGAGUGGAAUUCCAUGUGUAGCGGUGAAAUGCGUAGAUAUAUGGAGGAACACCGGUGGCGAAAGCGGCUCUCUGGCUUGUAACUGACGCUGAGGCUCGAAAGCGUGGGGAGCAAACAGGAUUAGAUACCCUGGUAGUCCACGCCGUAAACGAUGAGUGCUAGGUGUUAGACCCUUUCCGGGGUUUAGUGCCGUAGCUAACGCAUUAAGCACUCCGCCUGGGGAGUACGACCGCAGGGUUGAAACUCAAAGGAAUUGACGGGGGCCCGCACAAGCAGUGGAGUAUGUGGUUUAAUUCGAAGCAACGCGAAGAACCUUACCAGGGCUUGACAUAUACAGGAAUAUAUAAGAGAUUAUA